CCUCUCUCCACGUCCACGGCGCCGAGUCUCGCCACGGUGGCGCAGGCGCCAGGGAGGUUCCCCGGCUUUGCCGCGCGGAGGAAGUCCCGGUUACGCAGAGCGCGCUGGGGCAGGGCUGACCUUCCCCUUUCUCUACUUCACUGGCCUCCUCCAGACGUGGUGGUUGCGCCCUUUCGGCCUCGCUUUCCGUUUUUUGGCUUCAUCCCCUAGAUCUGCAAACAGUUCCUCGUGUUUCUUCCGUUAGCCGGGAAACGCGAACUGCAGCGUUUGGGACCCGGGUUUGCGCGUGUGGAAAGCAAAAGGGGUUACUCUGCUGGAGUUCGACAUUGCAAAUAAAGGUCUUUAUCCCCGGCGGUUCUACAAAAUUAGUUCUGCAGGGAUUCUGGUUGAAAGAAGCGUUAAAGUGGGCCUUGUAGGAGUCAGCAAUAAUCCAAUUUUACAUGGGUGCAGGUGGCUGCCUGUGUCUAGCGCUUUCACACAUCUCAUAUCUUCAUCCACGCCGUGGGUAUUUUUUUUCCACGGUGUGUUUCUGUUGCUGCCUCCAGUAUAUUGCUUAAUCAUCCUACCUGGUAAUUAUUUAUGCAUUUUUCUCCUACUCUCGACUCAGCUCCUAGGGAAUAAAAACACAUUAACUUAUCUUUGUGCCCACAGCACCCACCAAGUAUUUCCAUCACGUAAUACUGCCUCUAGAAAGGCAGGAGGAGAAGCAGUCACGCUAAGGAUCUAGGCAAGCCAGAUCUUUUGUCCGGUUUUAGGAGGUGGCCAGCCCUUACUUAUUCCACAAGUGUUUUUCCAGAAACUCAGACUUGAUAUUGCCUCAAGUCCAAGGCAGUGUGCUUCCCCCACUCACAUAUCACUAAUAGUAGCUAACAUUUGUUCAGAUCCCUGUAUGUACUCUGCCACUGUUUUAAAUGUUACACCCGGGUUACCUCAUUUAAUCCUUACAACUGCCCUGUGAGGUAGGUACUAUUAUUAUCUCUACUUUGUAGAUGGGAUUCACCGAGGCACAGACGGUUAAAAAACCUAGCCCAAAUAACACAAAUAAACAGCAGAGCAUGCAGUGCUAGAGUCUGCAUUCUUAACAAUUGCUAUAUUCUCCCUCUCCGUGAAUGUGGGCUGAGAUGCUGAAACAGGCAUGUGCUGUGGGGGAGAAAAAGCUUUGUCCAACCAAGUGCUUUCUAAUGUCCAGAUGACAUAGAGCUAGGAUUUCCUAAUGUCUUUUUUCCCCUAUUUUUCUCUCCAUUUCAGGGUUGAGUUUGUGCAUCGAUUGUGAACACAACAGGCAGCAGGCUAUAAUGGUGGUCCUGGCUGGAGUAGUUUUCACAGACUUCAGUAAUCUGUGGAGAUGAACGGGCAGUUCUCUGUAGUUUUCACAGAUCACUGCCAGUUCGUUUUGAGGCCUUCAGGAGUGAAGACCUGGCUCAUCAUCACUCUUUGUUGUUUUGUUAAAUUUAUUUACACCCUACUUUAUUCCAGAGGAAAGGAUUUAACGUAGUUUACAUAAAUGUGUACAUCAGGGUAAAUUAAAAAUAAGUACAGAGAAAAAUAGGACAAAAGAAAACCGUGAGUGUGAAAGAUAAGAUUAAGCCAGCAGUUUUGUAUGCAAAAUGCAUGGUGUAAGGUCCUAUUGGUUUGCUGGAGGUAGGCCACACAUAUGACUCUCAGUUUUCUAGCAACCAAGAAAAAGAUCAGUUGCAAUCGGAGUAGGUGUUUUGGCUAAGCUGGAACUAGGACUUGAAUAUAGCAGCUUGUAGAGUUAUACCACUUGCCCAAAUCUCUUCCAUGAGCCUCUUUAAGUGUAACAGAAUGCCUGGGAGCACGUAAAUGCUCCUACUUAGAUGCCUACUUAGCCUCUAAUUUUCAUGGGGCCCAUGAAUCCCAUGAAAAAGAACUUUGAACCCUGUCCACAAUUAGAGUUCAGGUAUACGCAGACAUGUUUAAAGACAAGGGACACCCAAAGGAAAGAUUGCACAGAGAGAAAGUGAGCAUCCGAGAGAAAAUCACCACAAGUGAGGCAGAGGGAGGCCGGUCUCAGCAGAGUUUUGGAGGUCGUGAGAAGAAGAGGUAGGAGAUAGGAGAGUGGUUCCGAGUACUUGCCUGCUGAUGUUACCUUCUCCACCCCCACCAGGUUUUCCAGUGCCUGGAGUCUUGGGCAGGAAUGGGCCACUGUAAGAAAGAGCUUUAUCACUAGGGCCUCAGCCAACUUUUCUGUGGGAUAUCCCUCCAAAAUAAUUAAGAGUUCAGAAUGCUUCAGAUUUUGAAGUGAAACUGGUACAUAUAUUAAGUGUUACUUAAUAACCCGAUAGUUUCUAGGGCAGCUCACCAUAAUCCCAAGUAUUAGCCACCACCCUCACCCCCUUCAGAGUAAAAUGUGUUUCCUGAAGGAAGUUGGGAAAAUGAAGAAAAAAAAUACAAAAAUCACCUAUAAUCUUACCAGUCAUAGAUGGCAGUUUUCCUGUCUUAUUUCUGAAUAAUGGUUGUUAAACAUUUGCCAGCACACCAUAAGGCUUAGGGAGGCAUCUGGGUCAUGCAUGUUAAUAUCCUUGGGUAAUUCCAGAAAUCUCUAUGAAGGGAAACUCCUGUUAUUUAUCUAGACUUCCUGAUUGCAAGGGGUUUGGGCAUCAUGAUUUAGGGGUCUUAAUAAAAUUAUUAUUUUAUUUUUACUAAUAGAUAAUGUCUGUGCCUAUCAGAUAAAGGCAAACCAGUGCUCAGAGGAACCCAACCAUCUCUGAAUUGAGACCAGAGAGCUGUCUCUAUGGAUAGUCCUUAGAGAAGGCAUUUCGGAACACAGUAAACAGCAGCCUGGUGACUCCGAUUACAGGGCCAGUUGCCUUUGUUACAAUAAAAGCAAGUCAUCUACACAGAUUUUUCCUACCAGGAAGAGCAUGUGCUGACCAACAGACAUGAAUUUCAGCCUGGUAGUUACAACAUUCACAGGAGUUUCACUCGUUGCCCAGGCUGGAGUGCAACGGCGCGAU
rnacentral:lncRNA from 1 species